AGUGAACGCUGGCGGCGUGCCUAAUACAUGCAAGUCGAACGAAGUGGCGCACGGGUGAGUAAUAUAUAGUUAAUCUGCUCUACACAGAAGAACAACAGUUGGAAACGGCUUCUAAUACCUCAUAGUGUAGGAUGAGACUAUAUCGUAUCAGCUAGUUGGUAAGGUAAUGGCUUACCAAGGCUAUGAAGCGUAACUGGUCUGAGAGGAUGAUGAGUCACCUGGGAAGUGAGACACGGUCCAAGCUCCUACGGGAGUGAGCAGUAAGGAAUACUGCGCAAUGGGGGAAACCCAGAAGGAGCAUCGCCGCGUGGAGGAUGAUAGUUUUCGGAGAGUAAACUCCUUUUAUAAGGAAAGCGGUACCUGAUGAAUAAGCAACGGCUAACUCCGUGCCAGCAGCCGCGGUAAUUC
rnacentral:rRNA from 1 species